rnacentral:rRNA from 1 species
CUCUGUGCCAGCAGCCGCGGUAAUACAGAGAGUGCAAGCGUUAAUCGGAAUUACUGGGCGUAAAGCGCGCGUAGGUGGAUACUUAAGUCGGAUGUGAAAGCCCUGGGCUUAACCUGGGAAUUGCACCCGAUACUGGGUAUCUCGAGUAUGGUAGAGGGAAGUGGAAUUUCCGGUGUAGCGGUGAAAUGCGUAGAUAUCGGAAAGAACACCAGUGGCGAAGGCGGCUUCCUGGACCAAUACUGACACUGAGGUGCGAAAGCGUGGGGAGCAAACAGGAUUAGAGACCCUGGUAGUCCACGCCGUCAACGAUGAGAACUAGCUGUUGGAGAGUUUACUUUCUAGUAGCGAAGCUAACGCGUUAAGUUCUCCGCCUGGGGAGUACGGCCGCAAGGUUAAAACUCAAAGAAAUUGACGGGGGCCCGCACAAGCGGUGGAGCAUGUGGUUUAAUUCGAUGCAACGCGAAAAACCUUACCUAC